CCUACGGGAGGCCGCAGUGAGGAAUAUUGGUCAAUUGGCGAGAGCCUGAACCAGCCAAGUCGCGUGAGGGAGUACUGCCCUAUGGGUUGUAAACCUCUUUUGUCGGGGAGCAACAGCCGGACGUGUCCGGCUUUGAGAGUACCCGAAGAAAAAGCAUCGGCUAACUCCGUGCCAGCGGCCGCGGUAAUACGGAGGAUGCGAGCGUUAUCCGGAGUUAUUGGGUUUAAAGGGUGCGCAGGCGGAUUUUUAAGUCAGCGGUCAAAUCGUGGGGCUCAACCCCAUCCCGCCGUUGAAACUGGGGAUCUAGAGUGUGCGAGAGGUAUGCGGAAUGCGUGGUGUAGCGGUGAAAUGCAUAGAUAUCGCGCAGAACCCCGAUUGCGAAGGCAGCAUACCGGUGCACAACUGACGCUCAGGCACGAAAGCGUGGGUAUCGAACAGGAUUAGAUACCCCAGUAGUC
rnacentral:rRNA from 1 species